rnacentral:rRNA from 1 species
UACGAGGGGGGCGAGCGUUGUUCGGAAUUAUUGGGCGUAAAGGGUGCGUAGGCGGUCUGUCGCGUCGGCUGUGAAAACCCGGAGCUCAACUCCGGGCCUGCAGUCGAUACGGGCAAACUGGAGUACUGCAGGGGAGACUGGAAUUCCUGGUGUAGCGGUGAAAUGCGCAGAUAUCAGGAGGAACACCGGUGGCGAAGGCGGGUCUCUGGGCCGUG